UACGUAGGUGGCGAGCGUUGUCCGGAUUUACUGGGCGUAAAGAGCGCGCAGGCGGUUGUGCAAGACAGAUGUGAAAUCCCCGGGCUUAACCUGGGAAUUGCAUUUGUGACUGCACGGCUAGAAUCUGGCAGAGGGGGGUAGAAUUCCACGUGUAGCAGUGAAAUGCGUAGAGAUGUGGAGGAAUACCGAUGGCGAAGGCAGCCCCCUGGGCUAAGAUUGACGCUCAUGCACGAAAGCGUGGGGAGCAAACAGG
rnacentral:rRNA from 1 species